rnacentral:lncRNA from 1 species
GGAUGGAUGGAGGAAAGUGUAAAGUGGGCUGAUGACGAAUGGAAAGAAAGGCUGCAAUGAAUGAAAGAUGAGGGGAGGAGGGGAGUGAAGGAAAUACAGGCAGAAAAGGGAGUCAAGGUGUGUAUAUUUGUGCGCUUGUGUGUGUUUAAAUAGUAGAGCAGAGUCUGAUAUUGGUUAUGACAGUCACACCUGCCGCCUCUCCUCACCCUUCACCUCUCCUCCUCCUGCUUUUAUUUCCCUCACACAUCAGAAGUCAUUAACACAGACUGAAGGGGUGAGGCUGCAGCUAAUCCUUCUAAAUCUUCUCCUCACCCUUUACUACCUCUCGGUUCCCCCCAUCGUUAGUCUUGUUCUUUUUCUAUACUGUUAUAAUAUACUAACCUGAUAACCAAGGCGGUACAGAGACUGAAGGAAUAAUGAAUAUCAGUAUCAAUCCAAUACAUGUACUGUAUAUUGUAAUUAUCGUUUUUGCCACUUGACUUUGCUUCAAACUUGAGGUGUUUUGGUGGACAAUGUGGCUCUUGGUUUUGAAGUCUUGAAAAACAGAAUCUAAAAUUAAUACCACAUGUGGGCAGAUUUCCCUUCUGACAAGUCACAGGUAGAUAUCUGUACUUAAAAAUUCAUGAAUAUUUUAGAUUAAUGAUGCUGAUAUAAGGGAUUUCACAGAUGCUAGUGUAAGAAAAAUGUGGAGUUUUUUGAAAUGGAAGCUAUGCGAAGCUGCUCUAUGGUUGUCUCAAACUUCCAGUAAAAAUGAUCAUAACUGGUCUCCUUUAAGCUAACCUUGGUCAGUUCUUCUUUAUCACACCAGGAGCAAUGCUGGUGAUGAUGCAUCGCCCAGGUAAAUAACAGAUUUACAUAGGAGGAACUCAAAGAGGUGCUUCGAUCCUUACAAAUUUAUAUAUAUAUUGAAAUUGGACUCCAUCUGUUUCUUUCAGACCAACUUCAUCCUUUAAAUGCUCUCUGGAUUGUCUCCUGCUCUAAUGCAGAUGUAUUCAUGCAGUCUGCUCUCAUUUCUUCUCGCUUAUUGCCUCUCUCCUCCUCUGCUUCUCUUUUGCAUAUGAUACAUGUCGUCUGGCAAGGUGAGUCCAGCCGCUACGUUAAAGAAAGCCGAGCGGAGCUCAGGGGUUCAGGACCCCAGCCGAGGCCCGCAUGCAGAGUGGGGAUAAGAGGCACAUCCAUGGACGGCUAAUUGAGAGGCCUUUAAAAUUCCCACAGAGGACCAAUCAUGGUUUUCAUCUGGGGGUACUCGGGGCUGAGAGGGGCCAGCGAGGGCCUCUCAAAUAGAGGAAAGUGACAUGAAGAUGUGCAGCUGCCCUGAGACCUUGAGUAUAACUCUGCACAUGGAGAGAUUUUCAAGUAAAAAUACACGAUUUUCUCAAACUGUCCACUUCAAUUCAGACGCCAGAAUAGGGUGACGUAAUGUUUGGAAGCUUAAGUUUAUUUAAUGUCUAUGUAAUUAACACAGACCCUCUGAGAGAUUUUAAACAUUUUAACAGAUUUUUUUUUUAUGUUAGACCCCUCACAUGAUGAAUAGAAGGAGUUUAAGCAUGUACAGAGCAUCAAGGUCAUAGUUAUUGUUGUAGCAGGAGCAAAGAAAGACAAAAAUGCUAAAAAAAAAAAAAUGUAUGUAAAAACCUGUAACUCUAAUGGUGUUGUAAACACUAACAAGUUGUUUUAAAGUCAUUUUUGUGCUGUACAGGUAAAUGAAAAAAAAAAAGGGCUUCUUGCGAUGGUCCCUGAGUGUGUGUGGCUUUCAGUUAUUCUGUGGCCAGCCCCUAGUGGACAUCUGAGGAACUGCACUCUGUGAUUUCUCAAGAUUGGAGGCUGAAGUUUUCCACAAAACAACAAACUGGUCCCCCAUUUUAGACUUCCAGCUGAGGCCCUAUCCACAUAAGUUCAGAUAUUUUUUGGCUCCAAUAACAAAGUUCUACUUAUGUUAAAUAUGUGAGGGUUCAAACCUGGGCAAUAAUUAAUUAAAUCUGUGACAUUUAGUGAAAAUGUGUUGUGUCCAUGCCUGUUGACUAAUAAAUCUAAGAGGAGUCUCCAUAAGCUUCACAAGUCCAGAAACCGUAACCUACAUAAACAAGUCUGUGGGCUUGAAAAUCAAGAUUCAUUGAGGAAAAAAGGACAUUAAAAGCUUUUUAAAGAG